ensembl:lncRNA
CAGAAAGGCACAGGGGAGGCAUAAUAAGGAUUCUAAGAAUUACAGCCCUGGGGCCACAAUGAGUGCUGGUCGAGGCUUGACUGUUUUGUUAACCAUUUUGGUUGCUGUUGCAAAAGCAGAAACUAUGGCAACGACAACAGAAACUACGGCAACGACAACAGAAACUGCGGCUCCAACAACUGGUUCAACUGCAGUAACAACAACAGAAACUGCGGCAACAACAACAACAACAGAAACUGCGGCUACAACAACUGGUUCAACUGCAUCAAUAACAACAGAAACUGCGGCUACAACAACUGGUUCAACAGCAGUAACAACAACAGAAACUGCAGCAACAACAACAACAGAAACUGCAUCGACAACAACUGGUUCAACUGCAGUAACAACAACAGAAACUGCGGCAACAACAACUGGUUCAACUGCAGUAACGACAACAGAAACUGCGGCAACAACAACAACAGAAACUGCGGCUACAACAACUGGUUCAACUGCAUCAAUAACAACAGAAACUGUGGCAACAACAACUGGUUCAACUGCAAUAACAACAACAGAAACUGCGGCAACAACAACAGAAACUGCGGCGACAACAACUGGUUCAACUGCAGUAACAACAACAGAAACUGCGGCUACAACAACUGGUUCAACUGCAUCAAUAACAACAGAAACUGCGGCAACAACAACUGGUUCAACUGCAAUAACAACAACAGAAACUGCGGCAACAACAACAGAAUCUGCAGCAACAACAACAACUGGUUCAACAACACCUGCUUCAACUGCGGCAACAACAACAACUGGUUCAACUGCAGCAGCAACAACAGAAACUGCGGCAACAACAACAGAAUCUGCAGCAACAACAACUGGUUCAACAACACCUGCUUCAACUGCGGCAACGACAACUGGUUCAACUGCAGCAACAACAACAGAAACUGCGGCAACAAUAACUGGUUCAACUGCCCCAACAGUAACAGAAACUGCGUCUACAACAACUGGUUCAACUGCAUCAAUAACAACAGAAACUGCGGCAACAACAACUGGUUCAACUGCAGCAACAACAACAGAAGCUGCAGCAACAACAACUGGUUCAACAACACCUGCUUCAACAGCAGCAACAACAACUGGUUCAACUGCGGCAGUAACAACACCUGGUUCAACUGCGGCAACAACAACAACUGGUUCAACAACAGUAACAACAACUGGUUCAACUGCAACAACAACACCUGGUUCAACAACAACACCUGGAUCAAAAACAGCAACAACAACUGGUUCAACAGCAGCAACAAUAACACCUAAUGCAACAACAACACCUGGAUCAACAACAACUGGUUCAACUGCGGAAACGACAACAGAAUCUGUGGCAACAACAACAAGUGGUUCAACAAUAGUAACAACAACUGGUUCAACUGCGUCAACAACACCAGAAACCGGAUCAUCAAGAACACCUGGAUCAACAACAACUGGUUCAACUGCGGCAACGACAACAGAAACUGCGGCAACAACAACAACUGGUUCAACUGCAUCAACAACAAUACCAGAAACUGUAUCAACAAAAACACCUGGUUCAGCGACAACUGGUUCAACAGCAGCAACAACAACACCUGGUUCAACAAAAACACCUGGCUCAACAACAACUGGUUCAACUGCAGCAACACCAACAGAAUCUGCGGCAACAACAACUGGGUCAACAGCGGCAACAACAACACCUGGUUCAACAGCAGCAGCAACAACACCUGGUUCAACAACAACACCUGGAUCAACAACAACUGGUUCAACAGCGGCAACAACAACACCUGGUUCAACAACAACAACUGGAUCAACAACAACUGGUUCAACUCCAAAAAACACAACACUUGUUUCAACAACAACUGGUUCAACACCAGCAACAACAACUGGUUCAACAACAGUAACAACAACUGGUUCAACUGCGGCAACAACAACACCUGCUUCAAUAACAACACCUGGAUCAACAACUACUGUUUCAACUGCGGAAACGACAACACAAUCUGCGGCAACAACAACAAAUAGUUCAACAACAGUAACAACAACUGGUUCAACUGCGGCAACAACAACGCCUGUUUCAACAACAACUGGUUCAACUGCUUCAACAACAACGCCUGUUUCAAAAACAACUGGUUCAACAGCAGCAACAACAACUGGUUCAACAACAGCAACAACAACUGGUUCAACUGCGGCAACAACGCCUGGUUCAACAACAACUGGUUCAACUCCAACAAACACAACACUUGUUUCAACAACAACUGGUUCAACACCAGCAACAACAACUGGUUCAACAACAGUAACAACAACUGGUUCAACAGCGGCAACAACAACACCUGUUUCAACGACAACUGGUUCAACACCAGCAACAACAACACCUGCUUCAAUAACAACACCUGGAUUAACAACUACUGUUUCAACUGCGGCAACGACAACACAAUCUGCGGCAACAACAACAAAUGGUUCAACACCAGCAACAACAACUGGUUCAACAGCAGCAGUAACAACAAAUGGUUCAACUGUGGCAACAACAGAAAAAACGACGAUGACGACGACGACGACGAGAACAACAACAACAACAACAACAACAACAACAACAACAACAACAACAACAACAACAACAACAACAACAGCAGCAGCAGUGGCGGUAGUUCGUACACCAGUUGUUGUUCUUGCAGCAGUUUUGGUUAAACCCUUUGUGCCUCAACUCAAAGAUAAAACUAGUCCAGAAUUUAUAGCACUUGCGACAGAAGUGGUAGUAGUGUAUGAAGUCAUCUAUAGAGCUCGAUAUGGUUUGCUUUUCAGCCGUGUUAUUGUCAUAGCAUUCAGACAAGCUGGGACCAGAACACGAGCAUCUGAUACUGAAGCAGAAGUGCAGGUUGUGUUUAACAACACAAUAACACCUGCACAAAUCCCAGAAGCUGAAGCUGUUCAACAAACCUUAGUUGAAGCGGUGUCUAACCCCAACAACACUUUCAACAUCAGUAUCAGUCCAGCAUCUGUCGUAGCAACCCAAAUAAACAUUUUUACAAAGCUGUUGCGGUUCGCAUCGGUUGGAGAGACAUUUACAGCUGACUUGCUGAUCUCAUCAUCUCCAGCAUUUAAAAAUAGAUCAUCACUGAUAGUGACAACACUUGAACCGAUCUACAAUAAAACAUUUUCUUCAUACAACUCAAUGGAAGUGACUGGAUUCCGAAAUGGAUCCAUCAUCACUGACAUCUACAUUCAGUUUGCAUCUACAUCAGCGCCAAAUAACACUGACAUUGAAAAUGUUCUGAUCAAUGCAGCUCCAAACAUAACAGCCUUCAACAUUACCAAUGUUGUUGUCAGUGACCCAGUGGCUUCAACUACAACAACAAUGACUGCACCUACAAACGCAACCACAGCAAACCUUACAAACACCACACCAGGAACAAAUACAACUACAGUGUCUACAACAGCUUCAAGUACACCUGUGAACGCUACAACACCAAUCAUCACUACCCCAACAAACGCAACCACAGUUUCUCCUACAACCACUACAACUGUAACAACUACAAUUGUUGAGGCUGUUACAACAAAGCAGUUGCAGUUCAGAGAUGUUGGAGCAACAUUUACACCUGACUUAGAGAACUCAUCAUCUUCAGCAUUUACAGAAAGAGCCAGACAGACAGUGUUAACACUCGAACCUUUCUACAAGACAUUUCCUUCAUUCCGCUCAAUGAGAGUGAUCAGAUUCAGAAAUGGAUCCAUCAUCAGUGACGUUGAUAUUGACUUUGCAUCUAUAUCAGUGCCUAAUAACACUGAGAUUGAAAAUGUUUUGAUCAAUGCAGCUCCAAACAUAACGACCUUCAACAUUAGCACAGAGUCUGUUAUUGUCAGUGACCCAGUGGUUUUACCUACAACUGUGAGCACUACAACACCAAUGAUGACUACCCCUACAAACGCAACCAUAGCAACUCUUACAAACACCACACCAGGAACAAAUACAACUACAGUGUCUACAACAGCUUCAACUACACCUGUGAAUGCUAUAACACCAAUGAUGACUACCCCUACAAACGCAACCACAGCAAAUCUUACAAACACCACACCAGGAACAAAUACAACUACAGUGUCUACAACAGCUUCAACUACACCUGUGAAUGCUACAACACCAAUGAUGACUACCCCUACAAACGCAACCACAGCAAAUCUUACAAACACCACACCAGGAACAAAUACAACUACAGUUUCUACAACAGCUUCAACUACACCUGUGAAUGCUACAACACCAAUGAUGACUACCCCUACAAACGCAACCAUAGCAAAUCUUACAAACACCACACCAGGAACAAAUACAACUACAGUGUCUACAACAGCUUCAACUACACCUGUGAAUGCUACAACACCAAUGAUGACUACCCCUACAAACGCAACCAUAGCAAAUCUUACAAACACCACACCAGGAACAAAUACAACUACAGUGUCUACAACAGCUUCAACUACACCUGUGAAUGCUACAACACCAAUCAUCACUACCCCAACAAACGCAUCCACAGUUACUCCUACAACCACUACAGCUGUAAGAACUACAACUAUUGAGGCUGUUACAACAAAGCAGUUGCAGUUCAGAGAUGUUGGAGCAACAUUUACACCUGACUUAGAGAACUCAUCAUCUUCAGCAUUUACAGAAAGAGCCAGACAGACAGUGUUAACACUCGAACCUUUCUACAAGACAUUUCCUUCAUUCCGCUCAAUGAGAGUGAUCAGAUUCAGAAAUGGAUCCAUCAUCAGUGACGUUAAUAUUGACUUUGCAUCUAUAUCAGUGCCUAAUAACACUGAGAUUGAAAAUGUUUUGAUCAAUGCAGUUUCAAACAUAACGACCUUCAACAUUAGCAAAGAGUCUGUUAUUGUCAGUGACCCAGCGACUCCUACAACCACUUUGACUGCAACAACUACAACUACAGCGACUCCUACAACCACUACAACUGCAGCAACUACAACUGCAGCAACUGCAACUACAGCAACUCCCACAACCACUAAAGCUGUAACAACUACAACUGCUGAGCCAGUACAAAAAAAGGCAGUGCAAUUCAGAUCUGUUAAUGGGAUAUUUAUAACUGACUUGCUGACAUCAUCAUCCACAGCUUUUAAAGAACGAGCUUCACUGAUAGAGACAGCACUUAAACCUUUCUACCUGGCCAGAUUUCCUUCAUUCCGCUCCAUCAAUGUGACUGCAUUCAGUAAGGGAUCCAUUAUCAAUAACAUGGACAUUGGAUUUGCAAUGUCACUGGUCCCUAAUGCAAAAGAGAUUGCACAAGUUUUGAUUGAUGCAGCCAAGAUAACACCCUUCGACAUUGAUAUCAGUUCUAUUCUUGUGGACGGCAUAUUGUCACAUGGAGUGAGCCACAAGAUCAGUCUCCUCACUGCUUCCUGUAUGGUGCUGCUGUCAUGGCUCCUGUCAGGCCAGCAAUAACAUCUGCGCUGAUGCUCUUGUGAAAUAACUUGAGGAAAUGUCUCCUGUGACUGGGUAUGAAAAAGGACUUUGUUCCAACUGAAAAUCCACGAGGAGCUUCUGAUGAAGAGCAAUCAUACCAUGAUUUAGAAGUAGCUAAAACUGAAAUUAACCUUUAUGUUAUCUAUCAAUAUAAACUUUAACAUAAUUUCCAACAAAGGUGUCAUUGGUUGUCAAUUUAUAAUGUAAGUCCUGUGAUAAAGUCAUACUGUAAGUUAUUAAUAUCAAUGAGAUCAAGUUUUAAUCCAUGAAGCAUCUCCUCAGCUUCUGACUCUGAGAGUGAAAAAAAAUGAAAGUGAUAAUCAGGAAAUCAUCACCUCACCUGGCAUUCAUGAAAUAUAAGAUGUGUGAAAAUGUCCUCUUUGGUCACCUUUACCAGUCAAUAUUUAAAUAUAUUUCUUGUAUAUAUUGUAUUCUAUUAUUGUAUGUAUUCUGUUUGUAUUGUAUUGGAUAAUUAUGGUAAAAAUUCUAAGUGAUCCUGAUACACACAUUUAAAAUUAUUUAAAGAACUGUCCCUAUAAAAAAAUAUAAUAUUAAUAUCACCUUUUUCUUUCUGAAGCAGGUUCUUCACAAGUCUAUCAUGAUAAACUAAAGAAGCGUCAAUUAAAGACAUUGAACAAACCCUGCCUAUCUUGAUUUUUAAAUAUACUACUCUAAUCAACUACUCUAAUUUUUCUUUUCAAAAAAUUGAUUAGGAAAUACUAUCAUAGCACUCUUAAGACCCCUUCAUAGAUUUUUGAUACAAGUAAAACUAAAUCUAAUUCUAAUAAUU